UAGUCCACGCCGUAAGCGAUGAGAACUAGAUGUUGGGAGGGUCAGCCUCUCGGUGUCGCAGCUAACGCAUUAAGUUCUCCGCCUGGGGAGUACGCCGGCAACGGUAAAACUCAAAGGAAUUGACGGGGACCCGCACAAGCGGUGGAGCAUGUGGUUUAAUUCGAUGCAACGCGAAGAACCUUACCAUCCCUUGACAUCCUCAGAAUGAUCUGUAAUCGAUCAGUGCCUUCGGGAACUGAGUGACAGGUGCUGCACGGCUGUCGUCAGCUCGUGUCGUGAGAUGUUGGGUUAAGUCCCGCAACGAGCGCAACCCCUAUCUAUAGUUGCCAGCACGUAAUGGUGGGAACUCUAUAGAGACUGCCGGUGAUAAGCCGGAGGAAGGGUGGGGGACGACGUCAAGUCAUCAUGGGCCCUUACGGGGAUGGGGCUACACACGUGCUACAAUGGUGCAUACAGAGGGGUCGCCAACCAGCGAUGGGGGAGCUAAUCUCAG
rnacentral:rRNA from 1 species